UUUUUUAUUGUGCUGCUACUGGCCCUUUAAGAACUCUAUGUGGGCAUAUUGAGACUUUUUGGGACAAUGCCCCCUUUUAAGACGGUGUCCCCAAACCUUUAAUAUACUGUGUUCCUGGCUUUCUCCCACUUGGUUCAGUAAAUGGGGUUUACUGAACCAAUGACCACACAGGCGGACUACCCAGAAGUGGAAGUGUGCAGGCAAUUUACCUCCCAAGCUGGGAGCCUGCUGUAGGCAAAUUGCCGACCGCUGCGCGGCCGCCGUUCGCACAAACGAUAACGUGGCGUCAGCCAUCUUUGUUCAUUCGCACGCGGUCAGCGGUGUGCACAUUUCAACGAACACCGCUGACCCUUACCUUCUCCUACACUGAGUUUGCAGCCGCAGAGACUAAGUCCCGUUCGGUGAUGGGACUUACUAAUUUUAUCAGUGUGAAAUAGACCGACCGCACAGCCCAAAUCUAUGGAACUGUUUUGGGCAUGAAAAUGUGCUUGCGGUUGGUCAUAAAGGACUUCCAGCUAACUUUUUAACCCCUGAAAGGAAUUGGCUGAAUUUUGUAUAUGUGUGUAAUUAAAGUGUGCUGAGUAUUAAUAUGUGACUUUUAUGAAGAUUGAAUGUAUA